UCAAGUAAAUUUGUAUGGAGUUGGAACGUUUUCUUGCGUUUGCCGCUAGGAGCGCUGUUCCAACUUCAUACAAACUUGAGUGA
rnacentral:pre_miRNA from 1 species